rnacentral:rRNA from 1 species
AAGGCUUCAGUACGACCCAGUCAGAACUAUAAGUCUCAAAGCCCCGACGAGUAGGGUGGCGUGCCGGUGAGCGUUGAAGGCCAAGACGUGAGUCAGGCUGGAGCCGCCGGUAGUGCAGAUCUUGGUGGUAGUAGCAAGUACUCUGGUGAACCAACCUGGAGCUGUGAGGUCUGGAUCAGGGUUCCAUGUCAACAGUGAUUGAACAUGGGUGAGUCGAUCCUAAGCCAACUGUGAAAGCAGUGACAUCCCGACAAAGGGGCUCGUUUGCAUACGCGUUAUCCUCUCUCACGCGCAUGCAAACAAAAACUUGGCGUGUUCUGAUUACGCUCAAAGCAUUAUAUGGUUUGUGAGAGAGAAAAAGGCGCGCGUGUGUGUCCGCCCUGCGUCUGGUUCUAUGUCUGGCGAAAGGGAAUGGGGACUUUGUUCCUUGACCGGUCCCGGCACCCUCGAUAGGCGCCAAUCAAUGGUCCAUGCAAAUGGAACCAGGCCACAGCCGCCGGCAGUCGCCCGAGGAAGAGUUUUCUUUUCUGCUUAACGCACGAGAUCAUCCCUGGAAACAGUUCGGCUGGCGAAAGGGUGCCCCGUUGCGGCAGAGCGCCACGACUGUCGUGCGCGUCUCGGUGUUCCUGCCGGUCCGUGAAGACGUGGUCGAGGGGAUUGCUAUGUUGUAUAAAAACGCCCGACAAGUUCGGGACGGACCGUACCCUAUAUCCGCAUCUGGUCUCCAAGGUUCGUAGCCUCUGCAGAGUCAGACACAUGUAGGUAAGGGAAGUCGGCAAACUCGAUCCGUAACUUCGGGAAAAGGAUUGGCUCUGAGGGCCGAGCUGGGCCGGGCCUUGCCUGCAAAGCAGUACCUAUAGUGACCGGAGUUUGAGGAGUGCGAGGGGCUCUAGUAGCUGGCUGCGCGCGUUCACGCGUGUGUGGUCACGAACGAGUCUACCGCUCCGCUCCAACCACGAACGGCUGUGACGGCAAGGGCUCUGGGCGGGAGCGAUCAAACCGUUCCCAGCUCGUCUGGGUGUCGGCGGUGCUCCGUCUGACCCAUACGGCUCCAGCGGCUAGCGGCUAACUCAGAACUGUCAUGGACCAAGGGAAUCCGACUGUCUAAUUAAAACAAAGCGUCGUGACGGCCCCUGUUGGGUGUUGACGCGACGUGAUUUC